rnacentral:rRNA from 1 species
UACGUAGGGUGCAAGCGUUAAUCGGAAUUACUGGGCGUAAAGCGUGCGCAGGCGGUGAUGUAAGUCAGGUGUGAAAUCCCCGGGCUUAACCUGGGAACUGCAUUUGUGACUGCAUCGCUGGAGUGCGGCAGAGGGGGAUGGAAUUCCGCGUGUAGCAGUGAAAUGCGUAGAUAUGCGGAGGAACACCGAUGGCGAAGGCAAUCCCCUGGGCCUGUACUGACGCUCAUGCACGAAAGCGUGGGGAGCAAACAGG